AUGAAAAGAGAGACAAAAAAAAACACAAGUGCAUUAGUAAAAGAUAUCUGGUGAAGCAAAGCAGUAUAAAGAUUGGGUAUAAUGAAUAAAAACAAUUCGUUUUGUUUGCUGUCGCCUUUUGAGCGAUGUACUUGGUGUAUCAAAGGGAUUUUAAAUAUCGUUCAAUCAAAUACCAACUAAUCCGCCCACAAAUAAACAAUUCAAUUUCCUUUGCUUUCCUUUUUCUUUUUUCCUUUUUUUUUUGCGUCCUCAACCUGCAGCAUGCCUCGACUACUUGUUGUUGUAGCUGCUGCUUGUCGCCAAUUCAACAAAUUAUCAAUCUUCCUUACAACUAAAUACGCAUACAAAACUGUUUAUCCUGUCGGCUACAAUGGAAAUCGUCUAUACUCAACUAAUGCCGUUACAUUUCGUCUUUCUAUCAUGUACAUGUGUAUUUGUGUGUGUGAAUGCUUUUCAUUUAUAUCUUAAUGCGACAUCUAAAUCCUUUUUUUUAUAUACUUAAUCGCGCUUAAAUAUGCUGUUGACAACUUGUUUGCUUAACAAAUACAAACCACUAACCAUCAUCGCAUACAUACAUACAAACACAUACAAGCUUUUCCUAUUAGAAAGCCCCCACCACCUGCUAGAGCUUUUCAUUCAGUUCAUCAAUUCACUUUCGCUUUCACUUAAACAUUUGUUGAUUUUAGUUUUAUUGAUUGUUUUCCGUACAACUGUGUAUAUGUAUGUGCAUAUAUUCAUAUAUACAUAUUUAUAGACCCUGUAGGACUAUUUAUACGCCUAGUGAUAUACGAAAAGUCAUGAGUCAUGGCUAAUGGAAUGACAGACUUUCGUUGAUCAAGUAUUAUCCAUCAAAUCUACGUACUUAUACUGAAAAUUAUAUUUUAGCAACGUCAUAUACCCGCAAUGAUCUCAGAGAAAACUAAAAAAUAUGCACGAUAAAGCGUUAGCUUUGAGAUGAAAAAAUCUUUAUCUUGAAAAGAUUUUUAUCUUGAUUUUGGUCGGCCAGUUUGUUAAAUGCUAUAGUUAGGUUAUGUUCGGUUAGGUUAGAUGGAUGAUCCAAGAUUGCACGUGGAUUGAUAUAUGUUGUUUUGUAGCCAUAGAAAAGAAGAACUCCUGUGUUCGAACUUCUAAAUCAGCAAAACGCUUAGUAGUUUAAUUUCUACUCCCGCCAGUUCGGUGGAAUGUCUGAAGGUAUGCGUUCCCAAGUGGUUUAGUCUUGGCCCCCCAAACGCGGUACUAUCAAGAAGGAAGUGUUCAGUUGUUUCCUCACCUCAUCUUCUUCCAUACUUUUUCUGGAAUUGAUAGAGAGCUCCUGAUAGUAGACCCCUCCAAUAACUUUCUCCCCAGUUUUGGCCCAUCCGUAAAGAAGCUCACUGUCCAUCUACUCCAACGGCUAUAGUUUCCUCCGCGAUAAAUGGCGGCUCCUUCAAAGUUCGGUUUAGCGACUUCAUGAUCUAAGUGAUUCGGUAUGAAGUCGAAGUGUGUGUCUCAGGUACGUAUUCUUUUAAGAAAAUCAAUCGUAAGCAAAAUGGAUUUGAGUUCCAUGGUUGGAGUGGAUCUUAGUGCGCCACACAUGCUGAUGAGCGUCGCCGUUGAACGCUCUCGAGUUUUCUCAAGUGUGGACUUUUCUAGAGCCCUCUAUCACAUAAACACUCCAUAGAACAAAAUGAGCUUGACUAAGGUGUCAUAGAGCCAGAAGACCACUUUCGUUGAACGACCCUGCCUUUUACUAAUGGCUCCUCUACAGCAUUAUAAGGCAAUCGAUGCCUUAUUUACUCUGUCUUCUCUGAUGUCCUCAGUAUAUAGAUCGCACAAAACAGAAAACCUUUGAGGAUGUAACGGCGUUAAACAAAUUAUCUGCGAAAAAAGUAUUACCGCAUUGAAAACCAUGCAUCUAAGAAACACGCUUUAUUACAUCCAUAUAAUAAAGUAUGGAGUGGAUGGGUCCAAGUCUCUGAAGUUUGUUGUUGUAAUGAAAGUUUUGGGCCCUAACAUACCAAAAUUAUUACAAUAGAAAAAGAAAAAAAAAACUGUUUUUACAAUGGAAGCAUCGAUUCCAAUGGGGCACAUGAGUCUGUAUAUGUGCACAUACAUAUAUGCCGAUAUGUCAAAGCUUCUUAUAAGAAGGUUUGUUUAUGCAUUUAUCGGCACAGUGUUGGCAAAAAUGUCACAAAUCCUUUUAACAUAUCCUUUUCUCUCAACAUAUACAGACAUGUAUAUAUUUAUACUCAUUGGUUUUGCUAUUGACGACCAUUUAUUCGCUGUUGACACGCACAAUCUAAGCAUGAACAUAUGUACAUACAUAAGUGUAUAGGAAUACGUCGGACAUUUGUAUAUACUUUUAAGCCUUAAAUUCAGAACGCUUAAACGACAGAUGCUGUUUGCUUUUGCUUUCGAUGAGUAUUUUAUGCUCCCAGUUUUUUCAAUUGCCUACUUAUUUGUUUGUAUUUAUUGUGAGUGAAAGUCAUCCAUCACCGUUUAUUUUCUAUAACAAAUCAAUGAGUGUGUGUGGGCAAAUAUUGUUUCAUAAAUAAAAACAAAGUGAUUAGAAAAAUGUUCUGGCCUUGCGAUGAGUAACAAAUUCGUAAAUAAAUAAAAAAUGUGACGAUUUAAUGAAAAUCUAUAAAAAUUAUGACGUAAGAGAUCUAAUUUACACAAAUAUAUACUUACAUCUACGGGAAAUAUGUUGCGAAUUUGCUUAAACGGCAAAGUCGGUAUCUUUUUUCAUCGCAAAAUAUUCUCUAUUUGAAGUGUAUUUUCUUUGCCACUUACAAGAUAAUGAGUCUAUUACAUAUAUAUUAGAGAUUGAUAAUUAUUGUCUAAAAUCAACCAAAACUGAGACUUGAUAUGUUUUAGUAUGAUUAAAAGACUCCGUGCUUCGAAAAAGUUACCACAAACACUGUUUUUGUAUUAGAUAAUGAAGACUAACGGUAGCCAAAGCUGAAGGUUAUGAACACUUAUAAAUUGGAUCGAAAUCAUUAUUUAAUUUUUAAAACAUCAAAACAUCAAAGGUGAUUUAGCGUUCGUUUCAAAGAGUUCUUUCGUUCUCCGUGUUUUCAGCUGACACUGAAAGAAAACUUUGUGAACACAAAUCAUUAUGUUGAACCAAUCAUUUAGUAUUCACAUCCGCCAUUAAUCACCCUUUAUUUGUACUUUCAUUUAUUUGAACAGUAAUUAUCAAAUAAUUCGAUUCUAAGAAUUGUUUAAUGACAGAGUGAUAAGAGAAAAGAUCCACUUUAUGAAACACUUGAUCAAGUUGAUCAACAAUCAACACUUAUUUUAAAUCAUUGCAUUUUGAUUACAAUAUUAAGUGAUUCCGUCCUUUGGCUAUAAAUUCUAGCCAGUUCUUUAAUCGGUGUUAAAUCAAAUUUGUUCUGUGCAGUGACAAGAAAUGAUGCAAGUUGCCAUCUUAAGCGCGAUUCUUGUUGCUUUGAUACGGUGUGUCAGUACUGACGCAAAAGGCAAUGAUGUGCCCUCACAGGAUUCGCGAGUCCCAGAGAGGGAAGAUGUCAGUUAUUCUGAAAUAUAUUUACAUAUAACACUGAGGUUUCAAAUAAAUAUCUUCUGUCAACAGUUGCUCCAGUCGAAGAUGACCGUUUUAUAAAUCAGCCUGACGAGUAUGAACUGGUUUGCUGCCUAUGGUUUUUGUAACCAGGAAAACACCACACUUCUAUCACUGGAAUUAAGAAAAAGCGAGAAUUAAAAGAAAGAGUUUAAUGCUCUUGUUAAUUUAUACCAUCUCCAAGAUCGUUCGUACUGGAUAUGCGGUCAUCGUCUAGAAGACGAUGUAACCUUCCGUUGGGGUUUAGGUGGUCUGCCAAUUUCUUAUACCGAUUGGUCUCCCGGCCAGCCAGAUAACGCGGGUGGACAACAACGCUGCAUGAAAUUAGAUACAUUCAGGGAGUGGGACGA